CGAAAGCGAGUUUUAAUAGGGCGACUAGUCGCUAGGAGUAGACCCGAAACCGGCGCGAUCUAUCCAUGGCCAGGUUGAAGAUUAGGUAGUACUAAUUGGAGGACCGAACCCAAUACUGUUGCAAAAGUAUGGGAUGAGCUGUGGAUCGGAGUGAAAGGCUAAUCAAGCACGGAGAUAGCUGGUUCUCCCCGAAAACUAUUUAGGUAGUGCCUCGUGUAUAACUCAUUGGGGUAAAGCACUGUUUCGACAAUGGGGGUUUUACGACCUUACUGACUCGAUGCAAACUCAGAAUACGAUGAAGUUCGAUCACGGGAGACACACUGCGGGUGCUAAGGUCCGCAGUGGAAAGGGAAACAGCCCAGACCGCCAACUAAGGUCCCAAAGUCAUAGCUAAGUGGGAAACGAAGUGGGAAGGCCCAGACAGCCAGGAGGUUGGCUUAGAAGCAGCCACCCUUUAAAGAAAGCGUAAUAGCUCACUGGUCGAGUCGGCCUGCACGUAAGAUUUAACGGGGCUAAGCUAUGCACUGAAGUUGCGGAAUAUAUUUAGUAUAUUGGUAGGGGAGCGUUCUGUAAGCCGAUGAAGGUGAAUUGAGAAGUUUGCUGGAGGUAUCAGAAGUGCGAAUGCUGACAUGAGUAACGUAAAAUAAGUGAGAUUCUUAUUGGCCGAAAACCCAAGGGUUCCUACGCAAUGUUAAUCAACGUAGGGUAAGCCGGCCCCUAAGGCGUAGCUGAAGAGUGAAGUCGAUGGGAAACAGGUUAAUAUUCCUGUGCUGCUUAUAUGAACGAAGGAGGGACGGAGAAGGUUAGGUAGGCCUGGCGAAUGGUUGUCCAGGUGAAAGUAUGUAGGUAGGAAUGCUAGGCAAAUCCGGUGUUCUGUUGAUCUGAGAUACGAGACGAAGUUAAACUUGUUUGACGAAGCUAUUGAUACCAUGCUUCCAGGAAAAGCUUCUAAGUAUAUUGUAUAAGUGACCGUACUGUAAACCGACACUGGUGGGUAGGUAGAGAAUACUAAGGCUAUGAGAUAACUCUGGUGAAGGAACUAGGCAAAAUGACACCGUAACUUUGGAAGAAGGUGUGCCCUUGAUGGUGAUGAGACUUGCUCUUUGAGCUGUUGGGGGUUGCAGAUACCAGGUGGCUGCGACUGUUUAUCAAAAACACAGCACUCUGCGAAAUCGUAAGAUGAAGUAUAGGGUGUGACGCCUGCCCGGUGCUGGAAGGUUAAUUGAAGGGGUUAGCGCAAGCGAAGCUCUGGAUCGAAGCCCCAGUAAACGGCGGCCGUAACUAUAACGGUCCUAAGGUAGCGAAAUUCCUUGUCGGGUAAGUUCCGACCUGCACGAAUGGCGUAACGAUGGCCACACUGUCUCCACCAGAGACUCAGUGAAAUUGAAAUCGCUGUGAAGAUGCAGUGUACCCGCGGUUAGACGGAAAGACCCCGUGAACCUUUACUAUAGCUUUGCACUGGACUUUGAAUAUUUAUGUGUAGGAUAGGUGGGAGACCAUGAAGCAGCUACGCCAGUAGUUGUGGAGUCGUCCUUGAAAUACCACCCUUGAAUAUUUGAAGUUCUAACUCAGGAGAGAUUCGAGGACAGUGUAUGGUGGGUAGUUUGACUGGGGCGGUCUCCUCCUAAAGAGUAACGGAGGAGUACGAAGGUGCACUCGGUACGGUCGGAAAUCGUGCCAAGAGUAUAAAGGCAAAAGUGCGCUUGACUGCGAGAGUGACGGCUCGAGCAGGUACGAAAGUAGGUCUUAGUGAUCCGGUGGUCCCGAAUGGAAGGGUCAUCGCUCAACGGAUAAAAGGUACUCCGGGGAUAACAGGCUAAUUCCUCCCAAGAGUUCAUAUCGACGGAGGAGUUUGGCACCUCGAUGUCGGCUCAUCACAUCCUGGG
rnacentral:rRNA from 1 species